rnacentral:rRNA from 1 species
GAUGAACGCUGGCGGCGUGCCUAAUACAUGCAAGUCGAGCGAACAGACGAGGAGCUUGCUCCUCUGACGUUAGCGGCGGACGGGUGAGUAACACGUGGAUAACCUACCUAUAAGACUGGGAUAACUUCGGGAAACCGGAGCUAAUACCGGAUAACAUGUUGAACCGCAUGGUUCAACAGUGAAAGACGGUCUUGCUGUCACUUAUAGAUGGAUCCGCGCCGCAUUAGCUAGUUGGUAAGGUAACGGCUUACCGAGGCAACGAUGCGUAGCCGACCUGAGAGGGUGAUCGGCCACACUGGAACUGAGACACGGUCCAGACUCCUACGGGAGGCAGCAGUAGGGAAUCUUCCGCAAUGGGCGAAAGCCUGACGGAGCAACGCCGCGUGAGUGAAGAAGGUCUUCGGAUCGUAAAACUCUGUUAUUAGGGAAGAACAAAUGUGUAAGUAACUAUGCACGUCUUGACGGUACCUAAUCAGAAAGCCACGGCUAACUACGUG